UACGGAGGGUGCGAGCGUUGUCCGGAAUCAUUGGGCGUAAAGGGCGCGUAGGUGGCCCGGUCAGUUCGUGGUGAAAGCGCGGGGCUCAACCCUGCGUCGGCCAUGAAUACUGCCGCGGCUGGAGCACUGUAGAGGCAGGCGGAAUUCCGGGUGUAGCGGUGGAAUGCGUAGAGAUCCGGAAGAACACCGGUGGCGAAGGCGGCAUUCUGGACCAUAACUGACACUGAGAGACGAAAGCCAGGGGAGCAAACGGG
rnacentral:rRNA from 1 species